UAAAUAUAUACAUAUAUAUUUACAAAAAAAAAAUAAAAAUACAAGAAUUAUACAAUUAACUAAACAAAUAAAAACUGAAAUACAACACGAACAAACACCUUUUUUAUAUUUAUUUUCCUGGUCUCCACAGCAAUUGAAAGAGAAGAAAGUAUAUUUCAGGUUCCUUGAAAUUAGUACAAAUUGAAAUAAAUCUAUUUCAUUUGUUACAUCUCUUGUAACAAAUCUACAAUUUUGUUUGAGUUAUCCAAACAAAACAACAAAUUCCCAAUUGUUCCAAUUGGAAAAUUGUUUAGAAUGGCUUUGAAAAAGAAAAUUCAAUAGAUGAAAGCGAAGAACACGAUCCGGAAUCCGAUUGGGAACAGUGUUUACACCUUUUAAAAAGUGGAAACUUAUCUCCGGAGGAAUUUGACCUAUACUGGAGAAAAUAUGCUUACUACAGAUUUAAACAAAUGAAAGAGAAGAAAAGUACAUUGGAUAUAUUGAACGAGUGGCCGGAAUAUAAAAAGUCAUCAGGAUUUCAAUUAAUAUCAACUAAAGUUUCCAAAGGCUAAGGAAUUAAAAACCAAAUGGGCAGAUUACGGGGGAAAGUUGUUUAGUUUGUUGCGGAAUAAAGUCGUUAAAUCGACUGCUUCAGCUAUACUCAAAAAGUUAGAAGGCUGUAACGAAGACACAAAAAUAUUUGGAACGUUUUGGUUUCUUCAACAUAUAUUUCCACCGCCAUUAAGUGUAAUAACGGAGCCUAAUGGGGCCAAACAACGAAAAAAAUUCUCCAUUAUCGAUUCUCAAGAAUCAUUUGCUAUAAUGGGUAAAAGUUCCGAAGAGCUGGACACAAAAUAGAAUUUGCUGAAGUUCCAGUCAAUAAGUUUACAGCCAUUACUUUUAGUGUUAGGUGAUUUAGAAGAUAUCAAAAAUAUUUCGAUAUAUUUUGAUGGCAUAAGGUAUCCCAUGAUGACUACCUUAACUGCUGUAGAUAUUUUAUACAAAAUAAUGUUUGUUUUUAAUCUAGAGUUUCCAAAACAAUCAGAAAUAUUUUAUACUUUUAUUCAAAUAUUCUUUUUUGAAAUGCCCACAGCCAAAAAAAAUUUAAA